rnacentral:lncRNA from 1 species
AUGAUACGAGGCUACAUGUAUGUUCUUCACACAUUAGCACAACACGGAGAACACUUACAACAACAUGACAGUAGACAUGCACAAAACAAGGCAGUGACAGGAGUCAGCACUGGUGGCUUACUGUGCCGAACCACCACUGGCCUGAACACAAAGAGCCAACCAAUCACAAUGGGUGAUUUCACUGAUUUGACAGGGUGUGGGGAUGCGGAGAGGACAGUGAGACAGAGGAGGAGGAGGAGAAGAAGUAAGACAGUUUCAUUAACCUUUCUGGUGUGGACACACACUCUUUCUCUUUCACACACACACACACACACACACACACACGUUUUCUUUCCACUCUUACUUUUAAGUACAAUUCUGUCCAGUGUUACGAGAGCAAUACUGCAGGACCAGGAGACACAGGGUGAUCUUAAGGUGAUUUAA